CCUACGGGAGGCAGCAGUGGGGAAUAUUGCACAAUGGGCGCAAGCCUGAUGCAGCGACGCCGCGUGCGGGAUGACGGCCUUCGGGUUGUAAACCGCUUUUGAUCGGGAGCAAGCCUUCGGGUGAGUGUACCUUUCGAAUAAGCACCGGCUAACUACGUGCCAGCAGCCGCGGUAAUACGUAGGGUGCAAGCGUUAUCCGGAAUUAUUGGGCGUAAAGGGCUCGUAGGCGGUUCGUCGCGUCCGGUGUGAAAGUCCAUCGCUUAACGGUGGAUCUGCGCCGGGUACGGGCGGGCUGGAGUGCGGUAGGGGAGACUGGAAUUCCCGGUGUAACGGUGGAAUGUGUAGAUAUCGGGAAGAACACCAAUGGCGAAGGCAGGUCUCUGGGCCGUUACUGACGCUGAGGAGCGAAAGCGUGGGGAGCGAACAGGAUUAGAUACCCUGGUAGUCCACGCCGUAAACGGUGGAUGCUGGAUGUGGGGCCCGUUCCACGGGUUCCGUGUCGGAGCUAACGCGUUAAGCAUCCCGCCUGGGGAGUACGGCCGCAAGGCUAAAACUCAAAGAAAUUGACGGGGGCCCGCACAAGCGGCGGAGCAUGCGGAUUAAUUCGAUGCAACGCGAAGAACCUUACCUGGGCUUGACAUGUUCCCGACAGCCGUAGAGAUAUGGCCUCCCUUCGGGGCGGGUUCACAGGUGGUGCAUGGUCGUCGUCAGCUCGUGUCGUGAGAUGUUGGGUUAAGUCCCGCAACGAGCGCAACCCUCGCCCUGUGUUGCCAGCACGUCGUGGUGGGAACUCACGGGGGACCGCCGGGGUCAACUCGGAGGAAGGUGGGGAUGACGUCAGAUCAUCAUGCCCCUUACGUCCAGGGCUUCACGCAUGCUACAAUGGCCGGUACAACGGGAUGCGACACGGCGACGUGGAGCGGAUCCCUGAAAACCGGUCUCAGUUCGGAUUGGAGUCUGCAACCCGACUCCAUGAAGGCGGAGUCGCUAGUAAUCGCGGAUCAGCAACGCCGCGGUGAAUGCGUUCCCGGGCCUUGUACACACCGCCCGUCAAGUCAUGAAAGUGGGUAGCACCCGAAGCCGGUGGCCUAACCCUUUGUGGAUGGAGCCGUCUAAGGUGAGACUCGUGAUUGGGACUAAGUCGUAACAAGGUAGCCGUACCGGAAGGUGCGGCUG
rnacentral:rRNA from 1 species